UUCUUUAAUUACGAAGUUAUUCUGAAACCAAAGAAGCCUCCAAUCUGAAACAAAAUUCAUAUUGCAAGGGCUCUGACUUCCCCGUCUUCUACUAACUUCAAUCUUUUCAGCUGCCAUGUCAGAGAUCUUCAACUUUUACCGGAGCUUGAGCGCGUCGCCGCCUACAUCCCGGCCUUUUACGAGAUAUUCGACUAGAUUUUGGUCCCAACUCUCUCUCUCUCUCUCUCUCACAUUUCUAGAGCUGAUAAGUGGUGGUGGUUGUCUUAGAUCUAGAAGGAUCUGUUGUAUCCGAGGAAUGAGUCUCGCCGGGAGGGCACUAGAUCUGAGCGGCCAUGGUUUUGUGUGGCAUGCGAGGCCUCUAUGUUUCAUCAGCGGCAUUAGGAAUUGCCCCAACAAAGAGCAGGAGCGCCUUUGCGUCAAUAAGGAGCUCAGCAAUGUUCGUACUUGCUUCAAAAACGAAAAGGUACGCUCCGCUUCCCCCACACCGCCUUAGGGUUUGGCCCUUCCUUUAUUGUAUUCUUGCUGCAUUUGGAUCUUAAUUCCUUCGUUGCUUUGAAAUUUGGGGGAUUUUUUGGGUGUUACGUUUUGGUUGUUGAGAUAGUUGGGAAUUUUAAUCUAAUCGAUCAAUCUACGCUGAUAUUUCUUUUAUUCCAAAAUCAUAGAACCGAGUUGGACUUUGGAAUGAUCUUUGAGUCUCUUGGAUAUGGCUAAAAUAAAUUUAUUUGAUUUGAUUCUAUGAUGUUUGUGGACAUAGUCGAAGAUUGCCAAAUGGAUGAACCUUAUAGAGUGCAUAAAAUCUAAUCUUUUAUCCUUGUGUAACUGAAUAUUCUACUAUUUUGAUGAGUAAAUGGCUACAUAUGAUGACAUUGAUAAUUCCAGUUUUGUGCCUUUAGUCUGUGUCAACAUGACAGAAGUAGCACAAGAGGGAAGGGGAAUUCCCAAGAGUCCUAGAAGGUCAAGCUGCUACGAUGCCUACUGCGAAAGGAUUCAGUUUUAAGAAGAUAUUACUACAUGAGCUUCAAGAGAAUUUAACAUAUGCAUUUCCAAAAGUUACAAUUUCGUAUGACAAGCCCUUCAUGGAGGAAAAGUAAUUGAGAUUGCAGCAGAUAUAUCUAUUCUUGAUGCAGUUAGGACUCUCUCAGAGCACAAAAUUAUCAACUCCAAUGAUCACUCUGCCGGAUGAAACCUGUUCAGAUUGAAGAUAAAGGCACCUUGGGAUCAUAGAUUACUCUGUCGUUCUUGUUUGGGUGUUGGAGAGUGCGGAGCAUGAUACUAGAAGUCCCUCUUCAGCUAGUUCUAUAGCAACUACAACUGGUGGAAUUGGUGGUGCAAGAGCUGUUGGAGCCAUUGGAGCUGUAGCAUUGGGGGUCAUAGGCCCUGUUGCGGUUGCAGGCAUAACUGCUGGUGCAGUUGCUUCUGUUGUGUCCGGUAGUGUUGUUGGAUAGAUAGGUGAAAUUUGCUACAUAUUAUUUGCAAAGCUUUCAUAAAGAAUGAUAAUAGCCAUCUAGGAUACAAAGAACAUUUCUUGUACGUGAUAGUAGUAUUGGAAAAUCUAUAAGAACAACUUUUGUAGAAAACAAUGGUAAUUAGGAAGGUAUAUAUUGAAUGGGAGACGUUGAUCAUUCUUGCAUUCAAAUUGUAACAGAUACAACUACGAAGAAUAAGGGGGGCAGGACUGCUGAUAAAUUGACUGCAGAAAGAGCACACUGAAAUAUAUGAUUUAUUUGCUAUCAA